GACGAACGCUGGCGGCGUGCCUAAUACAUGCAAGUAGGACGCAGUUGCGAACGUGUGAGUAACGCGUCGGUAACUGCCUAUUAGUGGGGGAUAACUACUGGAAACGAUAGCUCAUACCGCAUACUAGUAGAUGGACCUGCGUUGUAUUAGCUAGUAGGUCGGGUAAUGGCCUACCUAGGCAACGGUACAUAGCCGGCCUGGGAGGGUGGACGGCCAAAAUGGGAAUGGGGAAAGGGCCCGACUCCGACGGGGGGCAACAGUAGGGAAUCUUCGGCAAUGGGGGGAAACCUGACCGAGCAACGCCGCGGUGGUGGAGAAGGUUUUCGGAUCGUAAAACUCUGUUGAUAAGGAAGCGGUACUUAACCAGAAAGGGACGGCUAACUACGUGCCAGCAGCCGCGGUAAUAC
rnacentral:rRNA from 1 species